rnacentral:rRNA from 1 species
UUGAUAUAUUUUGUUUAUUAAUUUAAAUAAUUUUAUUUAAAAUUUAAUUAAAAUAAUUUUAAAAUUAUUUUAAUUUUAGUAUAGUAUAAAGAAAUAAUAAUUUAAAUAAUAGUUAAUUAGUAUUGUGAAAGAAUAUUGAAAUAAUAUGAAAAAUUAAUAAAUUAAAAGAAAAUAUAAUUUAUUGUAUCUUGUGUAUCAGAGUUUAUUAAAUAAAAAAUUAAUAUAAAUUUUUCUCGAUUCUAUAAGAGUUAAUAAAUUAUAUUAUUUAAUGUAAAAAAAUUAUUAAUAAUAAUUUAUUUGAAAUGAAAAGUUAUUCGGUUAUAGAGGUAUCUAGUUAUUUAAGAAAUAAAUUUAAUUUAGAUUUAUAUAAAAAUUAAUUUAUUUUUUUAAAUUAAUUAUAUAUAAAAUUAAUAUUUUAUGGGAUAAGCUAUAAAAUAAAUUGUUAAAAAUUUAAAUAUAAAAAUAUUAAAUGUAUGCUUAGAAUUAGCAAUUAUUAAUUAGUUUGUUAUAAGAAAUUUGGUUAAAAAUUUAUUAUUUAAUAUAUUUUAACUAUUUUAUUAAAUUAUUUAAUUUAAUAAGAAAAUUAAAGAAAUAAUGAUAAAAUUAGUAUAAUUUAUUGUUUAUUAUAUAAAAAAUUAAAAGAUUUUUAUAAAGAAUUAGGCAAAAAUAAUGUCCGCCUGUUUAACAAAAACAUGUCUUUUAGAAAUUUAUUUAAAGUAUAACCUGCUCUAUGAAUUAUUUAAAUGGCCGCAGAAUUUUAACUGUGCAAAGGUAGCAUAAUCAUUAGUCUUUUAAUUAAGGACUUGUAUGAAUGGUUGGACGAGAUAUUAACUGUUUCAUAAAAAUAAAUAGAAUUUUAUUUUUUAGUUAAAAAGCUAAAAUUAAAUUAAAAGACGAGAAGACCCUAUAAAUCUUUAUAUAUUAAAUAUUAUAAAAUUUUAGAAUUGUUUAUUUAUAAUAAUAAGUAUAUUUUAUUGGGGUGAUAGAAAAAUUUAAAAAACUUUUAUAAAUUGUUUACAUUGAUUUUUGAAUAAUUGAUCCAUUAAUAGUGAUUAUUAAAUUAAGUUACUUUAGGGAUAACAGCGUAAUUUUUUUGGAGAGUUCAUAUCGAUAAAAAAUAUUGCGACCUCGAUGUUGGAUUAAGAGAUAAAUUUAGGAGUAAAAAUUUAAAUAUUAAGUCUGUUCGACUUUUUAAAUCUUACAUGAUCUGAGUUCAAACCGGCGUGAGCCAGGUUGGUUUCUAUCUUUAAUUAAUAAUAAUAUUUUAGUACGAAAGGACCAAAUAUUAAAAUUAAUAUAAUUUUUGUUGAAUGAAUAUUAAUAAUUAAUACUAUUUUGGCAGAUUAGUGUAAUAGAUUUAGAAUCUU